CUACGGGCGGCAGCAGUGGGGAAUAUUGCACAAUGGAGGAAACUCUGAUGCAGCAACGCCGCGUGGAGGAUGACACUUUUCGGAGCGUAAACUCCUUUUAUAUAGGAAGAUAAUGACGGUACUAUAUGAAUAAGCACCGGCUAACUCCGUGCCAGCAGCCGCGGUAAUACGGAGGGUGCAAGCGUUACUCGGAAUCACUGGGCGUAAAGAGCGUGUAGGCGGGUUAAUAAGUCAGAAGCGAAAUCCUAUGGCUCAACCAUAGAACUGCUUUUGAAACUGUUAACCUAGAGUGUGGGAGAGGUAGAUGGAAUUUCUGGUGUAGGGGUAAAAUCCGUAGAGAUCAGAAGGAAUACCGAUUGCGAAGGCGAUCUACUGGAACAUAACUGACGCUGAGACGCGAAAGCGUGGGGAGCAAACAGGAUUAGAUACCCGGGUAGUC
rnacentral:rRNA from 1 species